rnacentral:rRNA from 1 species
CCCUACGGGGGGCAGCAGUGGGGAAUAUUGCACAAUGGGGGAAACCCUGAUGCAGCGACGCCGCGUGAGCGAAGAAGUAUCUCGGUAUGUAAAGCUCUAUCAGCAGGGAAGAAAAUGACGGUACCUGACUAAGAAGCCCCGGCUAACUACGUGCCAGCAGCCGCGGUAAUACGUAGGGGGCAAGCGUUAUCCGGAUUUACUGGGUGUAAAGGGAGCGCAGGCGGCGCGGUAAGUCUGAUGUGAAAGCCCGGGGCUCAACCCCGGGACUGCAUUGGAAACUGUCGGGCUGGAGUGUCGGAGGGGCA